AGAGUUUGAUCCUGGCUCAGAACGAACGCUGGCGGCGCGUUUUAAGCAUGCAAGUCGAACGGGAUUAUGGUGCUUGCACCAUAUGAGAGUGGCGAACGGGUGAGUAACACGUAGAUGAUCUGCCCUGCGAUUGGGGAUAGCCCAUGGAAACAUGGGGUAAUACCGAAUAAGCCCUUAUUACUGUGGUGAUUAGGGGAAAGGUGCUACGGGAUCGUCGUAGGAUGAGUCUGCGGUUCAUUAGUUAGUUGGUGGGGUAAAGGCCUACCAAGGCGACGAUGAAUAGCCGGCCUGAGAGGGUGAACGGCCACACUGGGACUGAGACACGGCCCAGACUCCUACGGGAGGCAGCAGCUAAGAAUCUUCCGCAAUGGACGCAAGUCUGACGGAGCGACGCCGCGUGAAUGAUGAAGGCCGGAAGGUUGUAAAGUUCUUUUACUGGGGAAGAAUAAAGUCUGGAGGAAAUGCCAGGCAGAUGACAUUAACCAGUGAAUAAGCCACGGCUAAUUACGUGCCAGCAGCCGCGGUAACACGUAAGUGGCAAGCGUUGUUCGGAAUUAUUGGGCGUAAAGGGCGUGUAGGCGGUUUAGCAAGCCUGGUGUGAAAUACUCCAGCUCAACUGGAGGGACGCGCUGGGAACUGUUAGACUAGAGUAAUGGAUGGGGAGUUGGAAUUCCAGGUGUAGGGGUGAAAUCUGUAGAUAUCUGGAAGAACACCGGAGGCGAAGGCGAACUCCUGGCCAAGAACUGACGCUAAUGCGCGAAAGUGUGGGGAGCGAACAGGAUUAGAUACCCUGGUAGUCCACACUGUAAACGAUGUACACUAGGUGUUGGGGGUUUAACCUCAGUGCCGAAGCUAACGC
rnacentral:rRNA from 1 species